rnacentral:lncRNA from 1 species
UGAAAUCAUAAUCUUUCAGUCAGUUUAAUUGAAGUCUGGAGCUGGCAUGUCAGUUAACUGCUAGUAGUCUGUUGUUAUUUAUGUAUUAUUGUCAUUUUGUUUAUUUUCUUUGGUUACAUCUUCUGACAUCAGACUCGGACUUCUCUUGAACUGAAUUUUAAUGUGCGUAUUGUUAUGCGUUUAUUUUUCUACAUUGGCUAGAGGUAUAGGGGGAGGGUUGAGAUCUCACAAACAUGUUUAACCCCGCCGCAUUUUUGCGCCUGUCCCAAGUCAGGAGCCUCUGGCCUUUGUUAGUCUUGUAUUAUUUUAAUUUUAGUUUCUUGUGUACAAUUUGGAAAUUAGUAUGGCGUUCAUUAUCACUGAACUAGUAUAUAUUUUUUUAGGGGCCAGCUGAAGGACGCCUCCGGUUGCGGGAAUUUCUCGCUACAUUGAAGACCUGUUGAUGACCUUCUGCUGUUGUUUUUUCUAUGGUCGGGUUGUUGUCUCUUUGGCAUAUUCCCCAUUUCCAUUCUCAAUUUUAU